rnacentral:rRNA from 1 species
GUACACUCCUGCGGGAGGCAGCAGUGGGGAAUUUUGGACAAUGGGCGAAAGCCUGAUCCAGCCAUGCCGCGUGCAGGAUGAAGGCCUUCGGGUUGUAAACUGCUUUUGUACGGAACGAAACGGCCUUUUCUAAUAAAGAGGGCUAAUGACGGUACCGUAAGAAUAAGCACCGGCUAACUACGUGCCAGCAGCCGCGGUAAUACGUAGGGUGCAAGCGUUAAUCGGAAUUACUGGGCGUAAAGCGUGCGCAGGCGGUUAUGUAAGACAGUUGUGAAAUCCCCGGGCUCAACCUGGGAACUGCAUCUGUGACUGCAUAGCUAGAGUACGGUAGAGGGGGAUGGAAUUCCGCGUGUAGCAGUGAAAUGCGUAGAUAUGCGGAGGAACACCGAUGGCGAAGGCAAUCCCCUGGACCUGUACUGACGCUCAUGCACGAAAGCGUGGGGAGCAAACAGGAUUAGAUACCCGUGUAGUCCCAUG